GACAGAGGGUGCAAACGUUGUCCGGAAUUACUGGGCGUAAAGCGAGUGUAGGCGGUCUUGUAAGUCGGAUGUGAAAGCCCCGGGCUCAACCUGGGAACUGCAUUUGAGACUGCUCUGCUCGGGUGCGGAAGAGGGAAGCGGAAUUUCCGGUGUAGCGGUGAAAUGCGUAGAUAUCGGAAGGAACACCAGUGGCGAAAGCGGCUUCCUGGUCCGACACCGACGUUCAGGCACGAAAGCGUGGGGAGCAAACAGG
rnacentral:rRNA from 1 species